GCAGUGUACCCGCGGCAAGACGGAAAGACCCCGUGAACCUUUACUAUAGCUUGACACUGAACAUUGAGCCUUGAUGUGUAGGAUAGGUGGGAGGCUUUGAAGUGUGGACGCCAGUCUGCAUGGAGCCGACCUUGAAAUACCACCCUUUAAUGUUUGAUGUUCUAACGUGGACCCGUAAUCCGGGUUGCGGACAGUGUCUGGUGGGUAGUUUGACUGGGGCGGUCUCCUCCUAAAGAGUAACGGAGGAGCACGAAGGUUGGCUAAUCCUGGUCGGACAUCAGGAGGUUAGUGCAAUGGCAUAAGCCAGCUUGACUGCGAGCGUGACGGCGCGAGCAGGUGCGAAAGCAGGUCAUAGUGAUCCGGUGGUUCUGAAUGGAAGGGCCAUCGCUCAACGGAUAAAAGGUACUCCGGGGAUAACAGGCUGAUACCGCCCAAGAGUUCAUAUCGACGGCGGUGUUUGGCACCUCGAUGUCGGCUCAUCACAUCCUGGGGCUGAAGUAGGUCCCAAGGGUAUGGCUGUUCGCCAUUUAAAGUGGUACGCGAGCUGGGUUUAGAACGUCGUGAGACAGUUCGGUCCCUAUCUGCCGUGGGCGCUGGAGAACUGAGGGGGGCUGCUCCUAGUACGAGAGGACCGGAGUGGACGCAUCACUGGUGUUCGGGUUGUCAUGCCAAUGGCACUGCCCGGUAGCUAAAUGCGGAAGAGAUAAGUGCUGAAAGCAUCUAAGCACGAAACUUGCCCCGAGAUGAGUUCUCCCUGAGACUUAGAGUCUCCUGAAGGAACGUUGAAGACGACGACGUUGAUAGGCCGGGUGUGUAAGCGCAGCGAUGCGUUGAGCUAACCGGUACUAAUGAACCGUGAGGCUUAACCUUACAACGCCGAA
rnacentral:rRNA from 1 species